UACGUAGGCAGCGAGCGUUGUUCGGAAUUACUGGGCGUAAAGAGUGUGUAGGCGGUGCUCCCAGUCUGUUGUGAAAUCUCCCGGCUUAACUGGGAGGGUGCAGCGGAAACUAGAGUGCUAGAGGGUGGGAGAGGUAAGCGGAAUUCCUGGUGUAGCGGUGAAAUGCGUAGAUAUCAGGAGGAACACCUGUGGUGUAGGCAGCUUACUGGACCACUUCUGACGCUGAGACACGAAAGCGUGGGGAGCGAACCGG
rnacentral:rRNA from 1 species